CGAGCGCAACCCUAUUGUUAGUUGCCAUCAUUCAGUUGGGCACUCUAGCGAGACUGCCGGUAAUAAACCGGAGGAAGGUGGGAUGACGUCAAAUCAUCAUGCCCCUUUAUGUCUUGGGCUUCACGCAUGCUACAAUGGCCGGUACAAAGGGCUGCGAUACCGCGAGGUGGAGACGAAUACCCAGAAAGCCGGUCUCAGUUCGGAUUGGGGUCUGCAACUCGACCCCAUGAAGUCGGAGUCGCUAGUAAUCGCAGAUCAGCAACGCUGCGGUGAAUACGUUCCCGGGCCCUU
rnacentral:rRNA from 1 species